UACGGGGGAGUAAGCGUUGUUCGGAUUUACUGGGCGUAAAGGGCGCGUAGGCGGCGCAACAAGUCACUUGUGAAAUCUCCGGGCUUAACCCGGAGCGGUCAAGUGAUACUGUCGUGCUAGAGUGCGGAAGGGGCUACUGGAAUUCUCGGUGUAGCGGUGAAAUGCGUAGAUAUCGAGAGGAACAGCCUGCGGCGAAGGCGGGUAGCUGGGCCGACACUGACGCUGAUGCGCGAAAGCCAGGGGAGCGAACGGG
rnacentral:rRNA from 1 species